UACGGGGGGAGCAAGCGUUGUUCGGAUUUACUGGGCGUAAAGGGCGGGUAGGCGGCCACCGCAAGUCAGUUGUGAAAUCUCUGGGCUUAACCCAGAAAGGUCAACUGAUACUGCGGGGCUAGAGUGCAGAAGGGGCAACUGGAAUUCUCGGUGUAGCGGUGAAAUGCGUAGAUAUCAGGAGGAACACCGGUGGCGAAGGCGGCUCUCUGGACGGAUACUGACGCUGAGGCGCGAAAGCGUGGGGAUCAAACAGG
rnacentral:rRNA from 1 species